AAGUUUACGUUAAAAUAAACCCAGGACCUUCAAAGUCCUAAAUAAGAAGACUAUGCCCCUUAACUUCUG
rnacentral:tRNA from 1 species